AUUGAACGCUGGCGGCAGGCCUAACACAUGCAAGUCGAACGGUAACAGGAAGAAGCUUGCUUCUUUGCUGACGAGUGGCGGGCGGGUGAGUAAUGUCUGGGAAACUUCCUGAUGGAGGGGGAUAACUACUGGAAACGGUAGCUAAUACCGCAUAACGUCGCAAGACCAAAGAGGGGGACAUUCGGGCCUCUUGCCAUCGGAUGUGCCCAGAUGGGAUUAGCUAGUAGGUGGGGUAACGGCUCACCUAGGCGACGAUCCCUAGCUGGUCUGAGAGGAUGACCAGCCACACUGGAACUGAGACACGGUCCAGACUCCUACGGGAGGCAGCAGUGGGGAAUAUUGCACAAUGGGCGCAAGCCUGAUGCAGCCAUGCCGCGUGUAUGAAGAAGGCCUUCGGGUUGUAAAGUACUUUCAGCGGGGAGGAAGGGAGUAAAGUUAAUACCUUUGCUCAUUGACGUUACCCGCAGAAGAAGCACCGGCUAACUCCGUG
rnacentral:rRNA from 1 species